AUCGGUUCUUCAUCUCGAUGACCG
rnacentral:snRNA from 1 species